ACUCCUGCGGGAGGCAGCAGUGGGGAAUAUUGGACAAUGGGCGCAAGCCUGAUCCAGCCAUGCCGCGUGAGUGAUGAAGGCCCUAGGGUUGUAAAGCUCUUUCACCGGUGAAGAUAAUGACGGUAACCGGAGAAGAAGCCCCGGCUAACUUCGUGCCAGCAGCCGCGGUAAUACGAAGGGGGCUAGCGUUGUUCGGAUUUACUGGGCGUAAAGCGCACGUAGGCGGACUAUUAAGUCAGGGGUGAAAUCCCGGGGCUCAACCCCGGAACUGCCUUUGAUACUGGUAGUCUUGAGUUCGAGAGAGGUGAGUGGAAUUCCGAGUGUAGAGGUGAAAUUCGUAGAUAUUCGGAGGAACACCAGUGGCGAAGGCGGCUCACUGGCUCGAUACUGACGCUGAGGUGCGAAAGCGUGGGGAGCAAACAGGAUUAGAUACCCGUGUAGUCCCAUG
rnacentral:rRNA from 1 species